UACGAAGGGGGCUAGCGUUGUUCGGAAUUACUGGGCGUAAAGCGCGCCCGGGCGGUCUUCCAAGUCAGUGGUGAAAGCCUGGAGCUCAACUCCAGAACUGCCAUUGAAACUGUUAGACUUGAGUACGAGAGAGGUGAGUGGAAUUCCCAGUGUAGAGGUGAAAUUCGUAGAUAUUGGGAAGAACACCGGUGGCGAAGGCGGCGACCUGGUCCGAUACUGACGCUGAGGCGCGAAAGCGUGGGGAGCAAACAGG
rnacentral:rRNA from 1 species